rnacentral:lncRNA from 1 species
GUGAAUGAUGCUCACUAAGAAGAAUGAAACACAACUAAUAGGUUUGGUCCAGAGGGCUGUGAGUUUUUCCAGUUAGAGAGUUCCCACAUGGAUAUGUGAUGGCAACCCACUGUUUCAACUUGCCUGCUCCUCUUCUAUUGGAAUAAAAUACUCCUAUCUGUCAUUUUUCUAAGAUUCUUUUUAGAAGCCUUUAGUGUAUCUUGUUUAACAGUUUCUACUGGACUUUAAACUGCUGCAGCAGGAUGGGCAGCGAUCACUUGUAGCUCUGGGACAGAAGGCUUUCUCACUCAACCCAGCCAACUGGUCAGCUGCUCACCAUGUCAGAAAUGCACAGCAUGGAAAAAGAUCUUACAUUGAAAGCAGAACUCUAAAGGAAAGAAGAGUGAUACAGCUAUAUAUAUAUAUACAUCAGGCUAGAAAAAAAGGUGAGCUAAAAGAGUUUAAAAUUUCCUUGCCUUUCUGCAUCAAGAUUGCUAUUUCUUAUAACCAAUCUUUCCUUAAUUGGAAAAUUGUUGCUGCACACUGCAGAAAAUGAGAGGUGGAUUUAUUUCUACAUAUGGAUCCUGUUUAGUUUACUAUGUUAAAUAAGAAAAAAGCAUAUAUGAAAUCUGACAAAAGUGGAUGCUUAGACUGAAAAAAAAAAUACUUACAGUAACA